rnacentral:rRNA from 1 species
AUGUGGUUAGAAGAUGAAAGAUAUGAUGAUUCAGAACAAAAUAGUGAUUUCUAUAACUCACUAGAUGAUGUGGGACUGCAUAAUUUAGACAAUGCAAUGAAAUCUAUGGAAGUAGAAAAUAGUGGUAAAAGAAGAAGAGGAUAUGGAGAAUCUUCUGUAAAAAGAGAAGGAGAAAGAGAGAGACCUACCAGAUCAGCUGGACAAUGGCCUCCAGAAAAAGAUGAUUAUCAACCUACAUAUAUCCCAGGACAAUAUAGAUAUAUCGGUACUAAAAGAAGAAAUUUUGCAAAACCAGUGUAA